AACACACAUGUUGUUGAUGGGCGGACUUUCUCUAUCAGGGAGGCUCAGCUGGAGCAACAGAGCAGCAUUUCUGGAGGAGGGCAUAUCAGUUUUGACACCUGUUUUCAGAAUCAUCCACAGAAGCACAAAGAUCAAAUGCAGAAGGAACUGCACGUGGAAAGGCCAGCCACAUACAUCACAAAAAGAGGACUGAAGUCAGCACACAGCUUGAAAGCCGGACUACAGGCCUUUCUUCAAGAAUGGCUGGAGUGACCCUGGGGACUUGCUGCAAGAAGCAAGAGGAUUGGGCAAAGGUCAAGAGGCCAUUUGUCAAACAGCACAAGACAUGUAACAGGAUAUGCACAGUGAGACAUGGCGGGGGAGAGCCCCCACGGAGCCCAGGGGAUGUAUGACAUCAUAGUCACAGUCCUACAUCUUCCUCUGUUUCCCCAGCUACCCUGGCUAUCUCUGCAGACAGGAAGAGAGCUGCCAAGUAGGGCUGGAAAGAGACACUCGGCAGGUAGAUCUUGCCGUAACAAGGAGAAGAAACUCAUGGAUUUCACCUAAGACCAGAGAAGGGAACAUUCCCAAGAGACUUGGAGGUUCCAUCUCUCAAGCAACCUGAAAUUAGCAGGGAUUUCUCCUGCGGCUUUGCCAUGAUGUGGGGAAAAGGGAAGUGGUUUUGACGCAAGGGACAGAGGGAGUGUUGGCGGUGGCAGGGGGAGCAGGGGCAGCAGCUCACUUACGGGUUAAAACCACCCUGGAGAGGCCCAGCUCUCUGAAGUUCGACAUCAGAAUAUACAUUCGAGUAAGGGUGGUCAGUUAUUCAAUUUUUUGAGACUCACUUUCCUUGUCUUUAUACAUGAGGUUUAACAAAAUUGUCAAGAAGGUGACAGAAAACAGCAGAGGAAAAAGCUGCAGUAUAGUGGAUACUCCAUAAAUAUUGGUUCCCUUGGCUAUAUUCGUCCCCUCUUUUUCCCAAGUGUAGAGCAACAUGGAUUAAAAUUUAUUUUGUAUUUCUAGAUCUCCAGCAAAUGUAUUUAGAACUGUUCUAUUAAAUUUUCCUGGAAAAUAAAGCAUCCCUUGCAUUGAGGCUAUCUAGGUAAUCUAUUUAACAGCAUCUAAGUCUAGAAAUUCAGAAACGUCUAUAUGUGCGCCUCUCUCUGUAAUGUCCUGAUUCUUUUUUUUUUUCUCAUCCACUUGCCCAUCAGUGGUUCAGAUAUUCUCUCUAUAUUUGUGUUUGCAAAGUUCUAUUCCUGAAUGGAAUUUUCUCCCAGGAAUUCCCGACCGAGGCCAUCUGCUCUGCAGGCAGAAAGUGAAGCGACCGCAGCCUGAUGCAGCCAGGAAGGCAGAGGCUGAGAGGAGGGAGUGUGGCAUCAGAACAGAGUCCGCCGGGGCUCUGGCUUCCUCCUCCGGGAUCAAGGGAAAUGUGCGAAGCACAGUGCAGAAUCCCGGGCGGCUCAUGCCCACUCACUUGCUGGGGGAACAGAUAAAACACGAGUGAGGGGGAGAUUUUGUGGGCUGACACUCCCCAGAAAUGCUGUGUGCACAUGGGCGUGGUGAUUGAUACUUAGCGCUUUGAAGCAAACACCGUGAGACUACUCAGCAUUGGGAGAAGCUGUCCACGCGGACGCCCAGGAAGCAGCCCGGAGGAUAGGGUGCCCCAGCAGUACUGCAGAAUCCCAACUACUGACGAGAAUGAGUAAAAGAAUGCACAGAUUGGACAUGUAAAUAAACAGGUUAAAUACCCUGGCAGCUCUUGAAAACAAACCCCUUUUUCUGAAUCUGCUCAGAAACCUCCGUUCUCAUGGUCACUCGGCAACAUGCUGCGGAGAAGAAGACUCGGCCUCGGAACAGCCAUGCCCGGGUUCGAUCCCAGUCCUAGCUUGUGGCAGCCGGGUGACUGGGCAUGAUUCCUGGGCUUCAGUCCUAAUCUGUAAAACGUAGGGGCUGAAGGAGGAAGCGGGAUGGAGUGGAGACCAUUAGAAUUAAUGUAUGAGGCCAGGCGCAGUGGCUCACACCUGUAAUCCCAGCACUUUGGGAGGCCAAGACAGGCAGAUCAGGAGGUCAGGAGAUCGAGACCAUCCUGGCUAACAUGGUGAAACCCCAUCUCUACUAAAAAUACAAAAAAUUAUCCAGGCGUGGUGGCACGUGCCUGUAGUCCCAGCUACUCGGGAGGCUG